rnacentral:rRNA from 1 species
CCUACGGGAGGCAGCAGUGGGGAAUAUUGGACAAUGGGGGCAACCCUGAUCCAGCCAUGCCGCGUGAGUGAUGAAGGCCCUAGGGUUGUAAAGCUCUUUUGUGCGGGAAGAUAAUGACGGUACCGCAAGAAUAAGCCCCGGCUAACUUCGUGCCAGCACCGCGGUAAU